rnacentral:rRNA from 1 species
AUGAACGCUGGCGGCGUGGAUAAGGCAUGCAAGUCGAACGGUUUUCUUUAUUGAAGAAGAUGCGAUUACAUCAAAUUAACAGAUAUUUUGAAAACAGUGGCGAACGAGCCAGUAACACCUUGGUACGUACCCGAAAGUUUGGUAUAGCUCGCCGAAAGGCGGGGUAAUCCCAAAUAGUCCCUUCAUCUAUCGGAUGAUAGGGUAAAGUAGCAAUACGCUUUCGGAUCGGCCUAGGUCCGAUCAGUUAGUUGGUGAGGUAAUGGCUCACCAAGACAAUGACCGGUAGGGG